AUCCUUCAGUUCAAGAGAGUGAUGAUUGGGUGUUCAUGCUAUUGUGUGAGAUGGGCCUUCCUUUAAACCUUUUUACAACUUGAGCACAGUAGGUCUGACG
ensembl:snoRNA